GGCCAGGCCCAGCGCAACCCGAACUUGUGAACCCCGUCAGGACCGGAAGGUAGCAGCGGUAAGCAAUCCUUCGGGUGUGCCGCUGCAACCCUGGCCCUU
rnacentral:SRP_RNA from 1 species